UUACGGCCAUAUCAUGUUGAAACACCGGUUCUCGCAUGAUCACCGAAGUUAAGCAACGUCGAGCCUGGACAGGGUCUAAAUGGGUGACCGCUUGGGAAUACCAGAUGCU